rnacentral:rRNA from 1 species
UCCUACGGGGGGCAGCAGUAGGGAAUUUUCGGCAAUGGGGGGAACCCUGACCGAGCAACGCCGCGUGGGUGAAGAAGGUCUUCGGAUCGUAAAACCCUGUUGUUAGAGAAGAAAGUGCGUGAGAGUAACUGUUCACGUUUCGACGGUAUCUAACCAGAAAGCCACGGCUAACUACGUGCCAGCAGCCGCGGUAAUACGUAGGUGGCAAGCGUUAUCCGGAUUUAUUGGGCGUAAAGGGAACGCAGGCGGUCUUUUAAGGCUGAUGUGAAAGCCUUCGGCUUAACCGGAGUAGUGCAUUGGAAACU